UUCAGGCACUUUGGUGGCAUCGCUACAGGUUUCCUGCCACCCAGGCAACUUGGAUUUUAGGAAGUCCGCACACUGCAUCAAGUUUAAAAGCUCAGCCUGAGACUUCUCUAGAGAAUCUAAUUUGCUUCUGUGUUCAGUUUGGUAUCUCUUUAAAGUUGCCUGCAAUCAAAGCAUUUAAAACAACUCAUCAUGCACUCAGCAAUGUAACUGGCACACCUGCCAGAACAGCUCUGGAAAUUACCAGUGAGUGUUUUAUCGGCGAUUACAGCCUGACUGUACAGCAUUUACUAAGAGCCAAGAAGUAUAUUUCUCAGCAUCCUCUCAACAGUUCCUAAAUAUGCCUAUUAUGCUCUGCUGUCUUCCAGCACAGGGUUACACAGCUUACUCUUCACUGCGAGCAGUUAAAAGCUGGACUGUUUCAUUUUGCUUUAGGAGGGCAUAGAAGAAAAAUACCUCAGUCCUUUGGGUGCGGUUCUAUGUGCAAACCAAUGUAAACUGUGUCUACUGCGGCCCUGCCCUGUAGGCAGACAGCCACAUCAUCCUGCUCUGGAUACAGAUGGCCACAUCAUCCCCACUCCCUUCUUUGCACUGGCACCGACACACUGAGUGUGUGCCAGUCUCGUCUGGGAGACUGCAGCAUACUGCUGAGGAGAGUACUUGGAAGUGUCCUGAAGCACCCAGUUUGACUUCACCCACUUAGACUUGUAGACAGUUACCGGGUCUCAACCAGGAGCCAUUACAAAAAACUGGAAGUGCUGGGGCCACAAUCAGGUUCCCAAAUUUGUAGCAUCUGGAAGUCUUGUCUAGAGAUGUGUUUUAUUGUCAUUCCAUUUCCAUGGCAAGAACAGCAGGCUGAGUUCCACAGCUGGUUCACAUGCCUCCUCCAGUAAUCUACCUAUUGCUCAACCUUGCAGUUAUCCCACUGUGAAGGAGUAGCCAUACAGGUGCUUGCAGUAUUAAACCUGCAAUAGUGCUGUCCUAAUGUACGGGCAGGCCUUACAAAGCUACACACGGUUCUGUAAUCCUGAUUACUUAUCACUGGCAGAGUCACUGCAUAGGACUGCUCUGUGUGCCCCCCUCUGUUUGUUACCUUACAUGAUUCUCAGUUUCUGGUUUUCAAAGGAGGGAAAAAAAAAAGAUACACUGUUUGACACACUGCUUUACAAAUCAUGUUUUCUACCAUCCAUAUUCUUUGAGAACUCUUCCUGAGUUAAACUUAUAAUUCUGUAAUGCUUCAGUUCAUGUGCACUUGAAUGAUAGCUCCCAAAAAGUACAGAUAAUUACAACAAUUGUCUAAAUAAAAUGAAUGUCAGAACUUUCCAUGAGAACCUUAUCAUCAUCUUUUUCAACAUCUCCCCAGACAUCAAAACCUGUCUCCCCAAAGCACGUGCUAGUGAUUUGGUAACCUGCCCAUGGAACAUAGAUGCAUCCCCACAGUGCCUGCGUAUGUAUUAUCACCUUUCUCCCUUCUUACCUGUCACUUUCAAGUUACAACAUCUCAAAAUUUUAGCUUCUUUGAAAUGAGGACCGUAUCUCCCAUCCUGUGAAGCAAUAUGCCACAGCAGGCUUUAACAAAAUGUAAAACGUGGAUCUGCAUUAUUGUUUAAGGGGGAACAUGAGGUGGUUCAAGAAGAAAAACAUGCGUGUCUCCUGACUUUUCAGGAGUCCCUCUGCAUGCGCCAGUCCUGACCUCUACGGUCACUUUGCACAACAGGCUACAGAAGACUUGGAAGAAGGAAUCAGAGUACAAUGAGAACAGUCAACCCCUUGAUCAGCAAGAAGGAAUUCAAACUCCGGGCAGUAGAUGGGAGGGAGAGACAGGGGUGCUGUAUUCCCCGCCCCCCCCCGGAGUCCUUCCGUACAGCCUACAGAGUGCAAUGCUUUUAUUGUUCUUAUUUAGAAUUGCUGGUGACCUCCGAAAUACAAAUACAUGGGAAGCAAGAGGUGCUAUAGUAAUUAAUUGCUCAUAUGCAAUAGAAAAGUAAAUACAAUGUAGUUACAUAAACACUUGAAGUAACGGACAUGAGUAAGCCACCUAGUUAUUUUAAGGCUGUAGAAGAGAAUGCACUUUAGCCUACAGUGUUUGUUUCACUGAACUCAACUGAAAAGAUACAUUUUAGACUAACGGGCUUUUAAAAUUAGAAGAGUUUUGUAAACACUUAUCUGCAACUUGAAAAUAGCAUUAAAAGAGAUUUGGAAAAAAAGUACAAAAAAUUACAAAGUUUGUUUGACUUUAAAUAGGCAGACUAGAAAGGUGUUUGGGAAGUUAUAGAAACUCAGGGUGAGUGUUGAAAUGGCCCUGAGAAUAAUUGCCCAUAUAGAUUUUUGUUCUUUUAAAAAUGAACUUAUUCUCCUUCUUUGUAAAAAGUAUGUUCUGAGAAUCUGCUGCCAAAGCAGCACACUUAGCUAAUACUUGGCAAUGCUAACACAGCCAACCCUAGCGUUCCAAGUACUGACAGACAUCCAACAACGUCGGGUAUUGACUCAGCUCUCGCGUCCCUCUUUCACACUCCCUUCCUCUGGCCUGCCCUGCCACCACAGUGUAAACGCUCAAUAAAACAACCCAUUCACCUGGUGCGUCAAGAAUGGAAAACCUGACGCUCGGAGGUUGUUAUUUUUGUCUCACACACCACUUGAACUGACUGCAGCCUUCCAGUCUUUCAGCUUUGAAUGCUUGGUUAGAAACAGGUUUUCUCAUCUUUAUUACAAAGAAUACCGCCAAAACAUGCCCUGAAAUGAAGAGAACUUCAAAAACUAAACUUCCUUCUAAAUGGUUUGUGCUGGAUUAUUUUACGAGUUUAUUUUAGAGUGUUCUAGAACACUUUAAAGUAGUAUUUUUAGGCAUCAGUGACUGUAUCUCUAAAUGUAUUUUCUUUCUCUCUCAGCCAAAGACUCCCUGUAUGCUGUGCAUCUGGCAAAAGCCAUUUUAUGCUGGAAUCCCCUUACUGCCACCGGUAAUCCACAGGCACUGUAUGUACUGGCUCACCCAUUUAAUUUCCUCUUUAAUGUUUUGAAUCAACAUCUUGAAAAGAACCCAUAGCAAGCACACUCUGACCUAUUAAGAUUCAAAUUAUAGUUGAAAUUAUAGGUCAGAUUCUGCACUUCGUAUAGAGAACAUUUUUACCAUGAACAUAUAUCAUGUUUUUUUAUUGCCAGCUUAAGAUAAUGGUUAGCUGCAUUUUCAUGACCCUCCCAAAUAAGAUUUAUAUAAGGAAACAAGUUUUUCUAGAUGACUAAUUCAGGAAAGGCAAAACAACCCCUAACCUGCAUGUAACAGUGUCCAAGCUGAGUAGAAAUUGAACAACUUCAGUAUAACAUUUGGAUUUUCAUUACAAUGGUGAAUUAUAGGAUAUAUCUAAUAAGACAGCGGGUUACUCUGGAUUAAUAACAGCAUAACCUAAGGCCAGACUCUAAUGUUCAGUACUUAUUCAUCUUGUAAAAGGGUACAGAAGACUAAAGGUGAAGACAAACAUGUAUUUCUCACGUCAACUAAAAAUAUUUUGGUAUGCAUUAAAACUGUUCGUGAUCAGGUUUUAUAUAUGAGAGCUCAUAAGACAUAAUAACCAAAUAUGAACUUCGUCAUCAUUUACUGGCAAACCCCAAACCUAUCAAACAUAAUGACACGACUAGAGUGCAUGAUAACAGACCACUUAAGUCUCAUUUGUGGCAGACAUACUGUAAAUUUGAACCAGUUUUGGGCGUCAUAUUAUGCAACAAAUUAAUAAACCAAAACCACCAGUCUUGAUCAUAAACAUACCUAUUAAAAUACUUGCCUUUCAAAUAUAUUUUUCUGCUUUCCAUUCUACCACACCCUGAACAUGAAAUAUUUGUGACUAAAAGAGGUACAUUAAAUAUUCCCACAUUUGUUUUAGAAAACAAAAAUUAGUUGUAAAUGUUUAUAGAUAUUUGUUCUGCUAUUUUGCUAUUACUCUAAGUGCUCUACAGGGAAGAGAGGAAAAUCUCUUUCAGAA